UUUCACUUUCCCUUUGACUCGUAAAGAUUCUGGCCUAGCAAGUGGCACAGUUCAUAACAGGAGACAGACCCUGCUCUCAUGAGAAUGAAAAGAAUCUGCUCAACUAAAAAGCCACCAAAGAUCAGAUAGUUUAUGCCCGAAACAGACCACAUACUAGACUGGAAGAUUCAACAUCCAGUAAAAAGAGGAAAAUGGCAUUGAUUCAGUUUCAAUACACACACCUACUUUUUCCUUACAAGGGAUCUAUAUACCAGAAGAGUUAGUCUAUGUGCUCAAAAGAAAAGACAAAGAUUGUGAUCAAGCUUUUUUCAGUCCUAUUUCUGAUGUUGAUAUGAAAGGGUGUAAUAAAGUAACAACAGAGAAGGUUUUAGCAAGCAGGUGCUGUAAGAACUUCAAAAGGUUUAUCAAGACUUCUCAGUGCUUGCCAAACAAGUGUCAAAGAGUGAAUGGCAAGAAUGGCUUUAAAGAACGGAGAAGACAUGUUUUAUUGCACUUAGUUUUAAGCUUCUGUUUGAUAUUUUACCACUACGAUAGAGUUAUGUAAAUUUAUUUUAUGUAUUGUUCUAAUGUAUCAAUCUGUUUUGUAAUUACUCCUUUUUAAAUAUGUUGUUAUUGUUUUUAUACCUUUUCCUACUAUAAAAGGUUUUUAUUAAGCCUUAUGUUACUUUGGUUUUUUAUUUCAUAGGAUUAAGAUGUCAUUCUUGAAAACCUUGUUAGUAUGAACUGUGUUUUUUUAUAUCUUAAUGUGUGUAGUAUUAAUCCACCCCAAUUAUAUUUAGUUAUGAAAAAAUAUAUACCAUAAGGACUGUCCACUUAUAAUGAAUGCCUCUCUGAAAAGAUUAGUGAAGCUUGGAAUAAAUAAAUAUAAAUUAUUAAAAUAUAACUAAAUUAUGAAGACUCCAUACAAAAAAACUUUGGAAAGUGUCACAACAGUAAAAAAAAUUAGAGUAUAAUUUAGGUUAGUUCUGAAUCUUAUUUUUUUAUUGGGAUUUUCUUCAUUGCAUAGAGGAUGUGUUUAUCUUAUAAAAUUGAUAUACAGUACCUGGCCAAAAGUAUUCGUCACCUGCAUUUUUUUUUGCUAUUAUUUCAUAUAAAAACAUAUUUUUUCAAAAAUAUGUUUUAGGGACAUUUUUGUUUUGAUUUUAAGCAACUUGGUACCAAUAGAAGCAGAAUUGUCACAGGUUUAUUUUUUUAUUGGAUACAUUGUCUUAGUGGAUAAUUUUCAUUUUUUCACAAGAUAAACACAAAUAUUAUUUUCUGUUCAGAAAUUUGCUAUGUAUUCAACCAAAUUAAAUUAUAAAAAUGUAUUGUAUGUGUUCAUAUCAAGACAAAACUAAAACCAAAUAAACAAACAAACUUCAGACAAUUCUACAUCUUUUAAGGCCUUGUUGAUUAAAAUCCAACCAUAAAUGCCCUAAAAAUAUUUUUUUGGAAAAAAUGUGUUUUUGUAUGAAAUAAUAGCAAAAAACGCAGGUGACGAAUACCUCAAGAUGUGAUUUUUAUAUGUCGUAAAUACAUGUACAAAAAAACAUACAUAUAAAUGAUUAUGAUAUGCUAAUACUUCAUUAUUGCAAAUAAUUUUAUUUUAAAUUAUGAUGAAUAUAUAAACUGGAUUGACUAUUCAUAUUUAUGCUUGUUGAUUGUUGACAUUACGUGUUGAAAAACAAAAAGAGUCCUAGGACUAAGAGUAACAAGCCUCAGUCAAAAAGUUACAACAUUGUCUUUUUGUAAGAUUAAUUGGUUGUUCAUUAUUAAUUUUUGAAACUGGUAAAUUUGUUGAUAAAUUUGUUUGGUCUAUAAUAGAUUAAAAUAUAUAUCUAAAGAUAUCUAUUGAAAUCGUCUUCCUAUUAAAAAAAAUCUCUCAAAAACACUUUGUGCCCUCUAUAAAUGCUCACAAUUUUUAGAUAGGUAACUUGUUUGUCUAUUUUAUUUUGUACCAUAAUAUUAUGCAUGAAAAAUAUCAAUUGUGCUUUAUGCAUGUCACUAAUGUAUAGAUAAAUUUAG